AUUGAACGCUGGCGGCAGGCUUAACACAUGCAAGUCGAGCGGAGUGAUGGUGCUUGCACUAUCACUUAGCGGCGGACGGGUGAGUAAUGCUUAGGAAUCUGCCUAUUAGUGGGGGACAACAUCUCGAAAGGGAUGCUAAUACCGCAUACGUCCUACGGGAGAAAGCAGGGGAUCACUUGUGACCUUGCGCUAAUAGAUGAGCCUAAGUCGGAUUAGCUAGUUGGUGGGGUAAAGGCCUACCAAGGCGACGAUCUGUAGCGGGUCUGAGAGGAUGAUCCGCCGCACUGGGACUGAGACACGGCCCAGACUCCUACGGGAGGCAGCAGUGGGGAAUAUUGGACAAUGGGGGGAACCCUGAUCCAGCCAUGCCGCGUGUGUGAAGAAGGCCUUAUGGUUGUAAAGCACUUUAAGCGAGGAGGAGGCUCUUUUGGUUAAUACCCAAGAUGAGUGGACGUUGCUCGCAGAAUUAGCACCGGCUAACUCUGUGCCAGCAGCCGCGGUAA
rnacentral:rRNA from 1 species